rnacentral:rRNA from 1 species
UACGUAGGGUGCAGGCGUUAAUCGGAAUUACUGGGCGUAAAGCGUGCGCAGGCGGUUUGCUAAGACAGGUGUGAAAUCCCCGGGCUUAACCUGGGAACUGCGCUUGUUACUGGCAGGCUUGAGUGUGGCAGAGGGGGGUGGAAUUCCACGUGUAGCAGUGAAAUGCGUAGAGAUGCGGAGGAACACCGAUGGCGAAGGCAGCCUCCUGGGAUAACACUGACGCUCAUGCACGAAAGCGUGGGGAGCAAACAGG